GUUUGAAGAAGACAUGGACCAAAAUUAGGUAUAAAAGUAUUGCCAGUGAAUUGAUCUGAAGCAACAACAAAGCAAAGCCAGAGCGAUUUGAAGUUGAAAAUGGCGGACCAAAGAAUCUCAUGGCCAGAACUGGUGUUUGUUGAUGCAAGUGUUGUGAGCAACAUCAUAAAGAAAAAUCAUCCUGAGUUCGAGAUCGUUGUGCUGUUAGCAGGAACUCCAACCACAAGAGAUUUGAGGCUCGAUCGAGUUCGACUUUUUGUUAACAUAAACAGUGUUGUAGUUGAAACUCCCAUCAAUGGUUGAAAUGUGUUGAGAACACCUUUGUUUGAGACAAUAUUUAAAUAAAAACUAGAAUCUAUUCUAGUCUUCUACUA